CAUCAGGAAAAUAAUAGAAGUUAACGCAGAUAUGGGGCUGCCACUGAGGAGAGAGAAGACUGAAAGGAGCAUAUAGAUAAAAGAUUAUUUGAGUAGGCUGAACCAUCAGUGAAAAGGAGGCCAAGCAUCUCAAAAAUAGGACACCUGAGAGUAUGGAGCCAGUGUGACACUCAGAUUUGACACAUACAGAAGCGUGAAAAACUCUUGUGUGACUGGGAUAGCUCCUCUGCAAUGAGAACAUGCCUGGGAUAAUGUACUGAAAAGAUGUGAGAAAUACAUGAAGCAGAGUCCAGUCAUCCCAGCCAAGAACCAGCUGUGAAUGUAACCGCAUGACUUUGAGGCAAGUCCAGACCAAGAACAAAGAACCACUGGUCUUAAAGACAGACCUGCAGAUUCCUGAGCUAAAUAAAAGUUUGUUGUUGAAA
rnacentral:lncRNA from 1 species